GACGAACGCUGGUGGCGUGGAUUAGGCAUGCAAGUCGAACGGUAUCAUCCUUUCGGGGGUGAGAGAGUGGCGAACUGGUGAGUAACACGUAGGUUAUCUACCCUCAAGACGGGGACAACCCAGGGAAACUUGGGCUAAUACCGGAUGAGAGUGCGAGAGAUUGCAUUUAAAAGGAUGGCGAAAGUUGUCGCUUAGGGAUGAGCCUGCGGUCUAUUAGUUAGUUGGUGAGGUAAGAGCUCACCAAGGCGAUGAUAGAUAGGCGGCCUUAACGGGUGGUCGCCCACACUGGGAUUGAGAUACGGCCCAGACUCCUACGGGAGGCAGCAGUCGAGAAUAGUCUACAAUGGCCGGAAGGCUGAUAGUGCGACGCCGCGUGAACGAGGGAGCCCUUCGGGGUGUAAAGUUCUUUUCUAUACGAGCAGUGCUAUAUAUAUGGAUAGUAUAUAUAGAGGGAUAGUAGUAUAGGAAUAAGCAACGGCUAACUCCGUGCCAGCAGCCG
rnacentral:rRNA from 1 species